UUACUCGUCGAUGUCACAAAAAGAAAGAAAAGUUCUUUAUUGGCCAUUAUCAUUUAAAAUUUUAAUAAUACAAUUAAGUUAGAAGGCCAACCAGGUCUCUGCCUCAGCAUUGCUUAGCAGCAAAUUAUUACUGCUAAGGCGCUUCUCUUCCGUCAGAGCCUGCAUCGGCGACUUCAGACGCCAAACGCCACAAGAACAUAAUGUGCUUAAUAAAAAAGAGAAUAUAAAAUAAAAAUCAACGAAAGAUAGACACGUAAAAAAAAAGAAGAAAAAAAACUUAAUAAUG